GCGGUGUGACGGAGUGUGAACAUGGCUACGCCUCGUCGUUCCCCUCCAUGCCAAGCCCCCGACUGCAGCAUUCAAAGCCCCCAUGGAGGCUGAGCCGGGCACAGAAACACAGCAGCGAGAGCAGCAACACCAGUACUGCCAACAGAUCUACACACAAUGAGCUGGAAAAGAAUCCACGAGCUCAUCUGUGCCUGUGUUUAGAACGCUUAAAAGUUCUCAUUCCACUAGGGCCAGACUGUACCAGGCAUACAACACUUGGUUUGCUCAACAAACCCAAAGCACACAUCAAGAAACUUGAAGAAGCUGAAAGGAAGAGCCAGCACCAGCUUGAGAAUUUGGAACAAGAACAGAGAUUUUUAAAGAGGCAGCUGGAACAGCUGCAGGGUCCUCAAGAGAUGGAACGAAUACAAAUGGACAGCACUGGAUCGACUAUUUCUUCAGAUCGUUCUGAUUCAGAGCGAGAGGAGAUUGAAGUGGACGUUGAAAGCACACAGUUCUCCCAUGGAGAAGUGGACAAUAUAAGCACCACCAGCAUCAGUGACAUUGGUGACCACAGCAGCCUGCAGAGUAUUGGGAGUGAUGAGGGUUACUCCAGUGCCAGUGUCGAACUUUUGUUCACUUCCUAGAACCCGGCAUGACGUAAUAGUGCAGGGAAAAAUAUUCACUGGGCCAAUUCAAUACAAACAAUCUCUUAAAUUGGGUUCAUGAUGCAGUCUCCUCUUUAAAAACGCAACUGUACUUGAACAAAAGGGUCAAAAGACCUGUAUUUAAGCAAAUACUUUAGCAAAAGUGGAGCAGAGCCUCCCCAGCAGAACACAUACUCAUAUUGGAAAAAUCACAAUUUCUAACAGCAACAGAAAACUUGUGUGAAAUUUUCUUGAUUUGCUUGAGUUGAUUUAAAAGAGGACACUGAAGAUACCAACCUCUCUUCUUUUCUAGUUUGCUCAUACUACAUUCAGUAGACACAUUGAAGGAUGGGAUUAUGAACCCUUCCUGAGCUUUAUGGUCCUAAAAACAAAGUCAAACCUAUACUAAAGAAAAGACAAGAUAAUCAGGCAUUAAUCAUGGAUAGCUAAAGAGCUAUUAAAACUUAGCCUGAGACAGCUUAUCAUGAAGCCUGUGGAUG